GCGCAUAUGGUGAAGUGGUUAACACGGCGGAUUGUGGCUCCGUUAUGCGCAGGUUCGAUCCCUGUUAUGCGCCCCA
rnacentral:tRNA from 1 species